rnacentral:rRNA from 1 species
CAGUUUCUAUCCUCUUUUUGAAAUGAGCUAAUUUUGUACGAAAGGACUUUUUCGCUAAAGCAAUGCUUUGUCACAAAUCUGUGGUUGCAUAAAUAAUAGUGUGUAAUAGGUUGAUUAGCCUAUAGGAAGGGUUA